UACGGAGGAUGCAAGCGUUAUCCGGAAUGAUUGGGCGUAAAGCGUCCGCAGGUGGCUAUGUAAGUCUGCUGUUAAAGAGUGAGGCUCAACCUCAUAAGAGCAGUGGAAACUACAUGGCUAGAGUGCGUUCGGGGCAGAGGGAAUUCCUGGUGUAGCGGUGAAAUGCGUAGAGAUCAGGAGGAACACCGGUGGCGAAGGCGACAUCCUGGACCGGUAUUGACGCUGAGGCGCGAAAGCCAGGGGAGCAAACAGG
rnacentral:rRNA from 1 species